rnacentral:rRNA from 1 species
GACGAACGCUGGCGGCGUGCUUAACACAUGCAAGUCGAACGAUGAAGCCGGAGCUUGCUCCGGUGGAUUAGUGGCGAACGGGUGAGUAACACGUGAGCAAUCUGCCCUUGACUCUGGAAUAACUGCGGGAAACUGUAGCUAAUACCGGAUACGACCCUCGGAGGCAUCUCCUGGGGGUGGAAAGAAUUUCGGUCAAGGAUGGACUCGCGGCCUAUCAGCGAGUUGGUGAGGUAAAGGCUCACCAAGGCGACGACGGGUAGCCGGCCUGAGAGGGUGACCGGCCACACUGGGACUGAGACACGGCCCAGACUCCUACGGGAGGCAGCAGUGGGGAAUAUUGCACAAUGGGCGCAAGCCUGAUGCAGCAACGCCGCGUGAGGGAUGACGGCCUUCGGGUUGUAAACCUCUUUUAGCAGGGAAGAAGCGAAAGUGACGGUACCUGCAGAAAAAGCACCGGCUAACUACGUGCCAGCAGCCGCGGUAA